CCACCUUCAAGAUCCUGAACUUUCCCCUUCCGUUAGGAGAAAGAGAGCAGACAUCGAUGUUACAACAUCUCAGAUUUAUGAUCUUGCAACUCUUCAGCCUCAGAACUGAUUUCCUCUGCUGCCUGCCAACAACAUUCAAAAGACAUCUCUGACCCAACAUAUAACGCAGUUAUACCCCAGGGUACUGAACUGUGGCUUGAUCUCAAGGUUAAUGAGCCCGAGUUCUGGCGUCAUUUUGGGCAAGAGUUUGUCCCACUCCCAGGCAGCAAAGACCACUGCAUCAGGCUUAAUGCAAGGCAGGACUGCAGUAUCAGAUGCAAAAGGUAGGAGGUGACUCAGUUCAGCACAGGAUGUAAAGGCAUACCAGAUUGGUACCAGCACUCCAACUGAGGUCUCACCAGCACUGUGGAGAAACAUACAUUUAUUUCCAUGUGCUUUGCACAUUACUCUUUUGCUAAUACAUCCCCAGAAAGGAUCCAGCUUGUACUCCACUCCAACUCUCAAAUGCUUUUUCACAGUACAGCUGCACUGGCAGAUAUUUCUCAUUUUAUAGAUGCCUUUUACAUUUUUCUUUCCUAGCCACAGUUCUUUGCUCUUGCCUUGGUUGAACUCCAUCUUGUUGAUUUUGUAUCACUUCUCCAGUAUAUCUAGAUUAUUUUGAAUUAAAAUCCUGCCUGUCAAAGUGCUUUCAAUUCUAACCAAUUUUGUUUCAUUUGAAAAGAUUAAAAGCAUUUGU